GACGAACCGUGCGAACGUUAUUCGGAAUCAUUGGGCUUAAAGGGCGCGUAGGCGGCGGUGUAAGUUGGAAGUGAAAUCCCAUCGGCUCAACCGUGGAAUUGCUCCCAGUACUGCAUCGCUCGAGGGGGAUAGGGGUCUGCGGAACUACCGGUGGAGCGGUGAAAUGUGUUGAUAUCGGUGGGAACGCCAGUGGCGGAAAGCGGCAGACUAGACCCUUCCUGACGCUGAUGCGCGAAAGCUAGGGGAGCAAACGGG
rnacentral:rRNA from 1 species